AAGUCGUAACAAGGUUUCCGUAGGUGAACCUGCGGAAGGAUCAUUAUCGAGUUAGGGUCUUCUCGGCCCGACCUCCCAACCCUUUGUUAAAACUACCACUUGUUGCUUCGGCAGGCCCGUCCCCCUGUGGACCGCCGGCGGACCGCCGAAAGGCGUCCUCUGGCCUGCGCCUGUCGAUAGCCCCCCCUUUCAAAUUCUGAACAAAACGUGUCAUGAUCUGAGUCUAUCACAAAAAUUAAAGCAAAAACUUUCAACAACGGAUCUCUUGGUUCUG
rnacentral:misc_RNA from 1 species